rnacentral:rRNA from 1 species
UAGUUGGUAGGGUAACGGCCUACCAAGGCAGAGACGGGUAGGGGGCGUGAGAGCGCGGACCCCCACACUGGCACUGCGACACGGGCCAGACUCCUACGGGAGGCAGCAGUAAGGAAUAUUGCGCAAUGGACGAAAGUCAGACGCAGCGACGCCGCGUGGGCGAUGAAGGCCUUCGGGUUGUAAAGCCCUUUUAUGGGGGAAGAGAAAAAGGACGGUACCCCAUGAAUAAGUCCCGGCUAACUACGUGCCAGCAGCCGCGGUAAAACGUAGGGGACAAGCGUUAUCCGGAUUCACUGGGCGUAAAGAGCGUUGAGGCGGUUCCGUAAGUUGGGCGUGAAAGCUCCGGGCUUAACCCGGAGAUGUCGUUCAAUACUGCGGGGCUUGAGGACAGCAGAGGAAGGUGGAAUUCCCGGUGUAGUGGUGAAAUGCGUAGAUAUCGGGAGGAACACCCGUGGCGAAGGCGGCCUUCUGGGCUGUUCCUGACGCUGAAGGCGAAAGCUAGGGGAGCGAACGGGAUUAGAUACCCCGGUAGUCCUAGCUGUAAACGAUGGAUGCUGGGUGUGGGGGGUGUAAAUUCCCUCUGUGCCGAAGCAAACGCGUUAAGCAUCCCGCCUGGGGACUACGGCCGCAAGGCUAAAACUCAAACGAAUUGACGGGGGCCCGCACAAGCAGCGGAGCGUGUGGUUUAAUUCGAUGCUACACGAAGAACCUUACCUGGGUUUGACAUGCACGUGGUAGGGAACCGAAAGGGGACCGACCUUCGGGAGCGUGCACAGGUGCUGCAUGGCUGUCGUCAGCUCGUGCCGUGAGGUGUCGGGUUAAGUCCCGUAACGAGCGCAACCCUUGCCCUUAGUUACAAGUGUCUAAGGGGACUGCCCGGGACAACUGGGAGGAAGGUGGGGAUGACGUCAAGUCAGCAUGGCCUUUAUAUCCAGGGCUACACACACGCUACAAUGGCCAGUACAAUAGGUAGCCAAGUCGUG